rnacentral:rRNA from 1 species
AGCGAACGCUGGCGGCAGGCCUAACACAUGCAAGUCGAACGAAGUCUUCGGACUUAGUGGCGGACGGGUGAGUAACACGUGGGAACGUGCCUUUAGGUUCGGAAUAACUCAGGGAAACUUGUGCUAAUACCGAAUGUGCCCUUCGGGGGAAAGAUUUAUCGCCUUUAGAGCGGCCCGCGUCUGAUUAGCUAGUUGGUGGGGUAAUGGCCCACCAAGGCUACGAUCAGUAGCUGGUCUGAGAGGAUGACCAGCCACAUUGGGACUGAGACACGGCCCAAACUCCUACGGGAGGCAGCAGUGGGGAAUCUUGCGCAAUGGGCAAAAGCCUGACGCAGCCAUGCCGCGUGGAUGAUGAAGGUCUUAGGAUUGUAAAAUCCUUUCACCGGUGAAGAUAAUGACUGUAGCCGGAGAAGUAGCCCCGGCUAACUUCGUGCCAGCCGCCGCGGUAAAAC